GUUUGUUGGUUGUGCUGUGAGGAAGAAGGAGUCAGUGUGGUGAAGUGCUGUCCAUGAGGAAUCACUGAGCAGGGAUGGGAGCUUUGCAAUAAGAUGACAACAUCGCACUGCUACACAAACAGACAAGCAGCUCUUCCACUGCAGCCAGGCCAACAGAGUCAGACCUAGGCAAGGAUCCCAAAAUGAUCCUGGAAUCCCAAGGUCAUGCUGGGGGCUGCCAGCUCUCCUGGCAUGACAUUUCAAGGUCAAUAGUGCAUCCCUAGUGUUGGAGAGCAGCUUUUAACAAAAGUUCUAAAGGAAGAAAUGCUGCUACCCUUGCAGAACCUCUGCCUCUGCAGGCUUUACUUCACAGGCAAGUUCAGGUAUCUGGAGAGACCUUGGAGAAAUUCAGACAACAGGGUUCUCUACAAAUUCUGUGCUGCAGAAAGGGAUGCAAAGGACACAGAGAAGAAAUGACUACUAUCAGGUCUGUGAAUGGGCAGGAGAUGAGAAGAGACAGAACAAGAGCAGAAAUUAAAAACACAUGGUAUUUUAAAGAAGCUUUAAUCAUCUUUGUGGUUUUCAAGUUAUUUAUUCAGACAUAAUCAGCAUUGUACUUCCUCUGCUGCUCCAGAUUCCUUACAACUGUAAUCAGAUCAGCUACUUGAAAAGAAAUUUCAAACUGCGGAGGUGGAUCUAAUUAACUUCACUGUCGUGUGAUUAUUUUAGUUUUCACAAUACAGGAGUUUUUAAGCCCAUCCUGUAAUUAAGAUUUACUCAGCAGUUUUCUCACAAAUAUCUGUUCCCAUUCAGUUAAGUAAUAUGUUAGCAUGUGUUGAAAUAUUUUUUAAAUUAUUUAACAAGUUCCCUGCUACUUCAGAUAUCUAGGACAUGGAAAAUACCUCAGAUCUUUCUCAGUGCCAUUAUAAUUACACCUUUCAAUUUUUCACUAGAGAUCUUGAGUUGAAGUGUAUUGGGAAGCAUCCUCUACUCACUGGCAAAAAUAGAUCGUUUAUUGUGAAUCUGUCUGAGUUAAAAGACUAACAUUUCAAACCCCAUAAGUUUUUGAUGAGUGGCUAAGAUGAUUUUAGGAACCCCUUGGAAUGUUCCUUUCUGAUAUGCUUUGAAGAAUAACCAAAAAACAAUAUAUGAUAAAAUAUCAGGAACUUCACUACAUCCACUCAGCUUAAAUAAAUUAAUUUAUAUAAAAGCAAUUAAAACACAGAAAACAAUCCCAUGGCAUCAGUAGCUACCCUGAGUGAAGGGGAAAGGGGUUAUUUAAAACUUGUAGAACACUUUAAUCUACAGGAAUAAAGUGCAAAUCUGACUGGCAAUUUCACUACAGAAGCCAUUGAUGUCACAAAGACUCAACACCAAAGGUCUCCCAAGUCACACAGGAUCUGGUUUGCUUUCCCUGUCUUCAUCAGUAUAAAGAAAUGAAUAAAUGAAUUAAUACAUAGACUGCUUAAUUCACACAGAUUUAAGAGAGAACCUUUAAGCCUCCUUCAGGGAUCCAGAAAUUAAAUGGGGGGAAACUAAAACUGAAGAAAA